rnacentral:lncRNA from 1 species
AAGAAAAAAAAAAAGAGAGCCGUUGCCCUGUAUGUGCGUGUAAAAAAAGAAAAGAGGAUUUGCAUCUCCGUAAUUUGUAAAUCAUUUUGGGGCAUUGACUUAGAGUAAACUUGUCUCCUUUAGAUACAAGGGUGUCUCCUAGUUUACAAUCCUGCAUGUGGCCUUUUAAGAACUUUUUUGAUAUAGCUCUUUUGUGAUAAUCCAAGAAUAUCCUAAG